UGUAGUCAUAUGCUUGUCUCAAAGAUUAAGCCAUGCAUGUCUAAGUAUAAGCGACUUAUACUGUGAAACUGCGAAUGGCUCAUUAUAUCAGUAAUAGUUUAUUUGAUGGUCCCUUACUACCUGGAUACCCGUAGUAAUUCUAGAGCUAAUACAUGCACUACGAUCCCAACUGCUUGUCGGGCGGGAUGCCUUUAUUAGAUCGAAACCAAUGCGGCGCAAGCCGGUGUUGUGGUGAAUCAUGAUAACCUAGCGAAUCGCACGCCCUCGGGCGGCGAUGUUUCAUUCAAGUUUCUGCCCUAUCAGCUUCGGAUGGUAGGGUAUUGGCCUACCAUGGCUUUAACGGGUAACGGGGAAUUGGGGUUCGAUUCCGGAGAGGGAGCCUGAGAGACGGCUACCACAUCCAAGGGAGGCAGCAGGCGCGUAAAUUACCCAAUCCUGACUCAGGGAGGUAGUGACAAUAAAUAACAAUGCCGGGCUCUUCGAGUCUGGCAAUUGGAAUGAGAACAAUUUAAAUCCCUUAUCGAGGAUCAAUUGGAGGGCAAGUCUGGUAAUCG
rnacentral:rRNA from 1 species